rnacentral:tRNA from 1 species
CGAGGUAGCUCAGCUGGUAGAGCAGCUGAUUCGUAAUCAGCAGGUCGGGAGUUCGAAUCUCCUCCUCG